rnacentral:rRNA from 1 species
UGGGGAAUAUUGCACAAUGGGGGAAACCCUGAUGCAGCGACGCCGCGUGAGCGAAGAAGGUUUUCGAAUCGUAAAGCUCUGUCCUAUGAGAAGAUAAUGACGGUAUCAUAGGAGGAAGCCCUGGCUAAAUACGUGCCAGCAGCCGCGGUAAUACGUAUGGGGCGAGCGUUGUCCGGAAUUAUUGGGCGUAAAGGGUACGUAGGUGGUUUUUUAAGUCAGGUGUCAAAGCGUGGAGCUUAACUCCAUUAAGCACUUGAAACUGAAAGACUUGAGUGAAGGAGAGGAAAGUGGAAUUCCUAGUGUAGCGGUGAAAUGCGUAGAUAUUAGGAGGAAUACCGGUGGCGAAGGCGACUUUCUGGACUUUUACUGACGCUCAGGUACGAAAGCGUGGGGAGCAAACAGG